rnacentral:rRNA from 1 species
UGCCAGCAGCCGCGGUAAUACGGAGGGUGCAAGCGUUACUCGGAAUCACUGGGCGUAAAGAGCGUGUAGGCGGGUUAAUAAGUCAGAUGUGAAAGCCAAUAGCUCAACUAUUGAACUGCAUUUGAAACUAUAAACCUAGAAUAUGGGAGAGGUAGAUGGAAUUUCUGGUGUAGGGGUAAAAUCCGUAGAGAUCAGAAGGAAUACCGAUUGCGAAGGCGAUCUACUGGAACAUUAUUGACGCUAAGACGGGAAGGCGUGGGCGUAUUACAGGGUCUGCUA